rnacentral:rRNA from 1 species
UUGUAAAGCACUUUCAGUAGGGAGGAAGGUAGUGUAGUUAACACCUGCAUUAUUUGGCGUUACCUACAGAAGAAGCACCGGCUAACUCCGUGCCAGCAGCCGCGGUAAUACGGAGGGUGCGAGCGUUAAUCGGAAUUACUGGGCGUAAAGCGCAUGCAGGCGGCCUGUUAAGUCAGAUGUGAAAGACCCGGGGCGUUAACCUCGGAAUUGCAUUUGUAAACUAGGCAGGCUAGAGUCUUGUAGAGGGGGGUAGGAAGUUUCAGGUGUAGCGGUGAAAUAGCGUAGAGAUCUGAAGGAAUACCAGUGGCGAAGGCGGCCCCCUGGACAAAGACUGACGCUCAGAUGCGAAAGCGUGGGGAGCAAACAGGAUUAGAUACCCUGGUAG